rnacentral:snRNA from 1 species
UCCAGCGGCUGGAAGAGCACCGCACG